AUCUUAUGCAUGUUAUUUAUGGGAUGAUCUUGUAGGUAAAAAACCCUUGGCCAAAUGUUGAUGCCCACAGUGGUGUAUUGUUGAACUAUUACGGUUUAACUGAAGCGAGAUAUUACACUGUUCUUUUCGGUGUGUCGAGGUCCAUUGGCAUCUGUUCACAGCUAAUAUGGGAUCGGGCUCUAGGGUUGGCUCUGGAGAGACCAAAGAGCGUUACAAUGGACUGGCUUGAGCAACACUGCAAGAAAUCAG